rnacentral:rRNA from 1 species
UCGGCGUGCUUAACACAUGCAAGUCGAGGGGCAUCAGGAAGAAAGCUUGCUUUCUUUGCUGGCGACCGGCGCACGGGUGAGUAACACGUAUCCAACCUGCCCUUUACUCGGGGAUAGCCUUUCGAAAGAAAGAUUAAUACCCGAUGGCAUAAUGAUUCCGCAUGGUUUCAUUAUUAAAGGAUUCCGGUAAAGGAUGGGGAUGCGUUCCAUUAGGUUGUUGGUGAGGUAACGGCUCACCAAGCCUUCGAUGGAUAGGGGUUCUGAGAGGAAGGUCCCCCACAUUGGAACUGAGACACGGUCCAAACUCCUACGGGAGGCAGCAGUGAGGAAUAUUGGUCAAUGGGCGCUAGCCUGAACCAGCCAAGUAGCGUGAAGGAUGAAGGCUCUAUGGGUCGUAAACUUCUUUUAUAUAAGAAUAAAGUGCAGUAUGUAUACUGUUUUGUAUGUAUUAUAUGAAUAAGGAUCGGCUAACUCCGUGCCAGCAGCCGCGGUAAUACGGAGGAUCCGAGCGUUAUCCGGAUUUAUUGGGUUUAAAGGGAGCGUAGGUGGACUGGUAAGUCAGUUGUGAAAGUUUGCGGCUCAACCGUAAAAUUGCAGUUGAUACUGUCAGUCUUGAGUACAGUAGAGGUGGGCGGAAUUCGUGGUGUAGCGGUGAAAUGCUUAGAUAUCACGAAGAACUCCGAUUGCGAAGGCAGCUCACUGGACUGCAACUGACACUGAUGCUCGAAAGUGUGGGUAUCAAACAGGAUUAGAUACCCUGGUAGUCCACACAGUAAACGAUGAAUACUCGCUGUUUGCGAUAUACAGUAAGCGGCCAAGCGAAAGCAUUAAGUAUUCCACCUGGGGAGUACGCCGGCAACGGUGAAACUCAAAGGAAUUGACGGGGGCCCGCACAAGCGGAGGAACAUGUGGUUUAAUUCGAUGAUACGCGAGGAACCUUACCCGGGCUUAAAUUGCAGUGGAAUGAUGUGGAAACAUGUCAGUGAGCAAUCACCGCUGUGAAGGUGCUGCAUGGUUGUCGUCAGCUCGUGCCGUGAGGUGUCGGCUUAAGUGCCAUAACGAGCGCAACCCUUAUCUUUAGUUACUAACAGGUUAUGCUGAGGACUCUAGAGAGACUGCCGUCGUAAGAUGUGAGGAAGGUGGGGAUGACGUCAAAUCAGCACGGCCCUUACGUCCGGGGCUACACACGUGUUACAAUGGGGGGUACAGAAGGCAGCUAGCGGGUGACCGUAUGCUAAUCCCAAAAGCCUCUCUCAGUUCGGAUCGAAGUCUGCAACCCGACUUCGUGAAGCUGGAUUCGCUAGUAAUCGCGCAUCAGCCACGGCGCGGUGAAUACGUUCCCGGGCCUUGUACACACCGCCCGUCAAGCCAUGGGAGCCGGGGGUACCUGAAGUACGUAACCGCAAGGAUCGUCCUAGGGUAAAACUGGUGACUGGGGC